CCUAAACCUGACCUCCACCUGAGUUAUGGAUUCCAAGCACUACCUCUCAGGACCAGUUCAUAUAGAAGAUCUUCUGGGUUUCCUGGACACAUGGUCUUUGUUUAAGACAAGAAGAACCUGUCAUCCAACUCUGGAAGAAGAGGCAAGCAACCCCAAACCCAGUAACGUUUAGUUGGCGAGCCACUUUUUAGAAGCAAGCUACCGGAUAAGGUCCACAGUUGUCCCAGGCCAGAUAAUUCCUGAGGCUUUACUAACUGCUGAGCUAUUAACUGGUGUUUAAGUCAAAGGGAGGCCUCACCAGAGACCAAAAUGUUGGGGCCACCUUAUCAUCUUAGACUUCACGCCUCCAAAAUGGUCUCAACACAGCACCGAAGCAGUGAUUUGGCAGACUGACAAGGUGACCAGUCAUUCAACAAACUGUUGACAAGUAUCAACUCAUUGCUGUGGUGGAUAUAAUCACCCUCCAGGAUCGAGGGACUAGGCCACAGAUGAGUGCUUUUGUGGAGAAGGGAGCUUUCUAAAUGAAGAUAGCAAGUGUGAAGCAGAGUGAUUUUGACAUCUGCUAAAUGACUAAGUACACUGAUUCUACCAUCUCAUUCUGUGCUCUGCUUCUACCCUGUAGAAUCCCUCUUAACUAAUCCUUGAUCAAACAGUGAACCCAUUGCUGAAAUAAAUUAUGGAGAAGCA